UCAAACUCGAAGAGAUCUGCUGCCUGCCUGUGUCUUCUGGGUGCUGGGAUGAAAGGCAUGCAGCACAACUGCCCAGCUCAAUGAAGACUUCAGUGGCAUCAAUCCCACCAGAGGGAUUUCUUUAUCGUUUGCCUUCUUCUCAAUCAUUAGGAGUUGAGGAGUACUGAAUCCAUUACUACUCUGAUGACACAGGUAAGAAUCCAGAUUCACAUUUCCAGGUACCAAGAGUUCCCUCUAAUGCCACGAUCCAGCCAGCCUGCUUCUACUUCUACUGAACACAGCAGUGCCCAUUGGUAUCUCUGAAGCGUAACCGCAUCUUAGGUCGGUACUUCUCCAAGUAAAGCAGCUGUUUGGAAUUGAAUGCUCCUCUUCUUUUUCU
rnacentral:lncRNA from 1 species